rnacentral:rRNA from 1 species
CCUACGGGGGGCAGCAGUGAGGAAUAUUCGGCAAUGGACGAGAGUCUGAACCAGCCAAGUAGCGUGAAGGAUGACUGUCCUAUGGGUUGUAAACUUCUUUUAUAUGGGAAUAAAACGUUCCACGUGUGGGAUUUUGUAUGUACCAUAUGAAUAAGGAUCGGCUAACUCCGUGACAGUAGCCGCGGUAAUACGGAGGAUCCGAGCGUUAUCCGGAUUUAGUGGGUUUAAAGGGAGCGUAGGUGGAUUGUUAAGGCAGUUGUGAAAGUUUGCGGCUCAAACGUAAAAUUGCAGUUGAAACUGGCAGUCUUGAGUACAGUAGAGGUGAGCGGAAUUCGUGGUGUAGCGGUGAAAUGCUUAGAUAUCACGAAGAACUCCGAUUGCGAAGGCAGUUCACUGGACUGCAACUGACACUGAGGCUCGAAAGUGUGGGUAUCAAACAGGAUUAGAUACCCGAGUAGUC